rnacentral:misc_RNA from 1 species
AAAUGCGAUAAGUAAUGUGAAUUGCAGAAUUCAGUGAAUCAUCGAAUCUUUGAACGCACCUUGCGCUCCUUGGUAUUCCUUGGAGCAUGCCUGUUUGAGUAUCAUGAAAUCUUCAAAGUUAAUCUUUUGUUAACUCAAUUGGUUUCUACUUUGGUAUUGGAGGUCUUUGCAGCUUCACACCUGCUCCUCUUUGUUCAUUAGCUGGAUCUCAGUGUUAUGCUUGGUUCCACUCGGCGUGAUAAGUUAUCUAUCGCUGAGGACACUGUAAAAGGUGGCCAAGGUAAAUGCAGAUGAACCGCUUCUAAUAGUCCAUUGACUUGGACAAUACUUUUAUGAUCUGAUCUCAAAUCAGGUAGGACUACCCGCUGAACUUAAGC